rnacentral:rRNA from 1 species
UAACGCGAAGAACCUUACCAGGUCUUGACAUACUAUGCAAAUCUAAGAGAUUAGACGUUCCCUUCGGGGACAUGGAUACAGGUGGUGCAUGGUUGUCGUCAGCUCGUGUCGUGAGAUGUUGGGUUAAGUCCCGCAACGAGCGCAACCCUUAUUGUUAGUUGCCAGCAUUCAGUUGGGCACUCUAGCGAGACUGCCGGUGACAAACCGGAGGAAGGCGGGGACGACGUCAGAUCAUCAUGCCCCUUAUGACCUGGGCUACACACGUGCUACAAUGGCGUAUACAACGAGUUGCCAACCUGCGAAGGUGAGCUAAUCUCUUAAAGUACGUCUCAGUUCGGACUGCAGUCUGCAACUCGACUGCACGAAGUCGGAAUCGCUAGUAAUCGCGGAUCAGC